AGCCCUGUAGUCUAGUGGUCAAGGAUGCUGGGUUUUGAUCCCAGUGACCCAGGUUCGAAUCCUGGCGGGGCUA
rnacentral:tRNA from 1 species